AAAGUUUAACAAAACACACUCACACACCUUAUAGUAAAGCUAAUUGCUUCUUUUCACCAUACAGUCAGAGUUUAAAGUACAUUUUAGUUAUUAUAAAUUUUGUUUACUUUUCGUGACUUUUCGGAAAUCACGUAAUAUCAGUCGUUAUACUCGUAUUUACCAUAAAAAUUUGAUCGCGACUGCCUUUAAGUCGCUGUGGUACAUCAAACUUCGUUAUCGUUACACAUAAUUCGU